ACAUUUUGCAGAUUCUUCUCGUUCAACACUAGUACAGAUUUUAACAGUCUUAUUCUCGCUGACAACGACGGUUAUACGCAGCGUAUUUUGAAAUCUGCCUGUGCAUUAACACCGGAGAGAAAGAAAGAGGGGGAGAGAGAGAGAGAGAGAGGAGAGACUUUAAAGCCAAUAUUGCAUGUGACGUACUACAAGUUUGUCGAACGUUCUGAUUGGUUAUCACUUAUAUGAAUGGGGCAGCUUCUGUCAAGAAUUUACUACUUAGGCCUGUUCUUUUUCGCUGCACUGUGCACUGGUGCAAUAAGUUAGAAUAAAAAAAAAUAUAUUUGUCUUACUCUACCCUGUUGCAUCAGUGCAGCAGUGUAGCGAAAAAGAACAAGCCACUUCUUGUCAAAAAAAGUCAAGGGCAAAAACAAAUAUUUUUUGACAGUCUCUCUCUCGAUACACACAUUUUGUUCACAUCGAGGCGCUACUGGCGCUUAGCGCUAGUAGUCAGUUCCUGUUUGUUUACGUCCUUGUGACUGUGUUGGGCUAUGUGUGUUUCGUGAUGACAAGAUGAGCAACGUGGACGAAAUGUCAAACGAGCCAAUACUAUACGAACUAUUGGAAUAUUUCGUUCGCAAACAAGAACCGGAAUUGAUCAAAUGCAAGAACGAUGCAGUUAUUCUCCCAACUACUGGAACAAUAAAAAAUGCUCUUAGGUACCUUAACAACAGGUACUCCCUACCUGAGAGCAUCUCGCAGCAAGUCAGUCUCACACUGCCAUGGAAAUUUGCUGUCGGAGAUCAUGGUCGGGUACUUGCUAUCUUACAGGAGAAUAUUAUUGAGAUACGAAAGGCCAAAGAUGAAUAUUCCUCCAUAGUGGGAAAAGCAUCAGCUCCAAAGGAUGCUUUUCCUCAGUGGCGUAAACUUGUCUGGAGUCCCGAUGGAAUGAUUUUGGUAUUGGCGUCCAGUAAUGGCUACACCUCUUUUUACAACGCGCUGGGAAAUAAUAUCUUUAACAUAAAUCCAAAAACGAUUUCACAAAGCCCUCAUAUUCUUGAAGCUGGUGAUGCUAUAGCAUCCAUGUUGUUUCUCAAGCCAAGGUUGACAAGUGAGAAAUGGGCCUAUGAGUUUAUUUUAAUUUCGUACAGUGGAUUGCUCAGGUCUUAUCAUAUUUCUACAAGUGGUUUCAGUCCAAAUUACGACUUUUCUUUUGGUAAUUUUUACAAAAACGGUAUUAAUGUUGUCGCCUAUGAUGAAAAACAUAGUUUAUUUUAUGUUGCUGGAAAUAUGAUAACACAAAAAUUAACGUCCACUGCAUCUGAAUCUGGAUUAACUUCGUGGCGACUUUUGAAUGAUUACCCAUAUUGCAAAUUAUCAUUUACAUUUGAAGAGUCUGCUACCAGUAAUUCGCGGUUUUCUAUGUGGAAUUUAAUUCCUAUAUUUAGCUUUCAAUCAGAAUCGAUUAUAUUUUCUAUAAAAAUUUCACCAAAUGGCGAGUUUCUGGUAUGCUUGCAUACAGAUGGUACAGUCUCGCUGUGGGGUUUGCCAAAUUUAAUAUUACAAAAAAAAUGGAAAUUGUCUGAACAGCCUGAAUAUAAUAUACCUAAUCCUUUGGGACUUACAAAAUCUAAAAAAUUUCCACCAGGUUUUACAGAAUUUCAUCCGAUAGAUAUUGGUUGGUGGUCUGAUCAGGCUGUCAUAAUAGCUCGAUCUUCAGGCUCCACUUCAGUUUGUUCAACAUGGAACUUGAAGAAUUUACUAGGUGCUAGUCCAGAAUUUUUAGCAGGACAACCACAAAUAUGCGAGCUUGGUUUAGAGAAAGGAUUUUUAUGUUUAGACUGUGAAACCUUUGUUACAAGUAAAAAACGAAGUAGAGAAUCUAAUGAUGGUCAUUUGUCAGAAGCGUCGUCUGAAAGCGAGAAGGACGACGAUGAAUUGGAACCUGUUACUAUAUUAAGUUAUACUACAAAUUUGGUACAAAGCACAUUGUAUUCAAUAACUGACAUCGAAAGAUUUCAACCAAAGAGAAAAAAAUCAAAAGUAUUGCAUCGAACUUAUAGAAUUUUGGGUUUAAAAAGUACGACUCCAGAAGAGCUGUAUUCUAGAAAGAUAGGCAUUGAGGAAUACGAGGAAGCUUUAUCUUUAGCAAACACAUAUAAUUUGGAUACAGACCUUGUGUAUCAAACACAGUGGAGGAAGUCAGAAUUAUCCUUAAAUGCCAUUACGGAACAUUUAAGUAAGAUAAGCAAAAGAUCUUGGGUUUUGAAUGAAUGCGUUGUACGCGUCCCUGACACUAUGGAAGCUGCAAGGGAACUAUUAAAUUUUGGAUUGAGAGGCGCAAACUUAGAAACUUUAAUAGCUAUCGAUAUUUGCGACAAUGAUAAAUUUGUAACUGCCGAUACAGAUGACGAUUGGCAAGCAUUAGAUCAACUCAGUGUAAGUUUAAGACAGGUGCAGAAAGUUAAUGAAAUGCUUGAAAAAAUUGAUAUAAAAAAUUUAUCUGAGGCUCAGAAAGAUUUAAUUAAGUAUCGGAGAAAGCUUCUAAAUCAUUUAGAUAAAUUGCUCACAUAUGAAAUUAUAUUAGAAUCACCACUCAAAUAUAAAAAAGAAUUUUACGAGGAGUUCCGAAGUCUAUCACCUAUUGAAAAUGCAAUCAAAUUUGCUAAAGAUAGUGAUUACAGAGCUGUUGAAAUUAUGUUUACCUACUAUGGAGAAAGUUUGUUGCCUCAUUGGUUGGCAAUUAUCAGUUUCUUUCCAGAAACAUUGAAUACAUUGGAUUACCAAAAACUGCUACCAGAAUGUGAUUCAGAAGAUCAUUUAUUUUUAUUGGAUCAACGUGAAUUACGACAAAAAGAUUGGUCAGAAAAACAUGAGUUUAAUGAAAUAUUAAAUCUCGAUUUAAACGAUCAAUCAGAAAUAUUGUACGAAAUGGAUCCCUCAUUGUCAAUAUAUAGAAAUACCGAACUAACACCAGAUUUAUUACAAAAAUGGUAUAAGACACGUGCUUAUGAAAUUGAAAAGAAUAGCUCUUUAAUAGACAAUGCUUUGCAAUUAGUUAAAAUUGGAAAGUCUCACAAUAUUAAUGGCCUAGAAAACUUGUUAUUGGAAUUAGAAACUUUAGAUGAUCUUGUGUAUACAGUACGUUUGGAAGAUAUAUCAUUAGAUAAAUUAGAGAAAUUGAGUAAUAUGGAGAAGAUAAAACUUUUGAUGAGUACAUCAAAUGAAAUGAAUUUUGUUGAAAACAUAAAAAACCUUUUAUUGCCUUUUAUUAAACGAAGACAUCAAUAUUUGGGUGGAGAGCUUCAGAAAUGCUUACUAACCGAUUAUCUAAUUUCCUUAAGCAAAGACGACUUAACAUUUCCGGUUAAAUUUUUUGAAUAUUUAAAACAGACGCAGGACAUAGAAAUAAUUGAAUUAAUAGAUAAUGUUGCCACUUUAGCUUUAGAUUGUAUAUAUGCCUGUGAUGAUCUUGACAUGUAUGAAAAAGCUAAAGAUAUCUUAGAUUCAUUAUCGAAAAAUCAUGAUGGAAAAAGACCAAAUGCAAUAUGUAACUUAUUAAAUGAGUCUGAAGGAGAACUUGAUUGUGUUAGACUUUUAAAUAAAUAUGGUGUAAAAACAACGUUGAAAUUUAUACGAAAGAACAGAAACGAUCCUGAUGUCGCUAGAUCGCUCUUAACCGAAACGGCAAGAAAUUUUAAUAAAAGUUUGAUACCUCCAGAUGAAAGGGAAUGGGCGCAAUUAUUAAACGAUCUAUUAGACAUACAUGGACUAAUUUUUUCGUAUAUGGGUGUUGAAACCUGUUUCGAAAUAUGUGUUUCAGCUCGUUUACUUUCAAGAAUUAAAUGCAUCAUCCGUAAUUGUGCCACCUUAAUAGAAACUAAGAAAAACGAGAAAUCUUUGUUAAAAGUAUCUUAUAACAAAGCAGUUGAUCUUAUAUUAGAAGCGUCUAAGGAGUAUUUUAAUGGUUCAAGAACACUUACUGAUCCACAUAUGGAAUUGGCUAAAACUUGCCUUGAUCUUAUCGAAGAUGAUAACGUAAAAAUUAAAGAAGAAUAUGAUCUUAUUAAAUCACUUCAAAUAUUGAAUGAAUUUCAUGUUGAUAUAUUACCACUUCAAGUUAGAUUAACAGUAGAUAGAUUAUCCUUAAUCGAACACUGUUUAAAUAAUCAAAAAGAUGCUUAUAAAAAUCGACAAAGAUUGUUGACGUUAGCAAGUUAUUUACGAAUUGAGGGAAAUAACAGUAGACUGCGUGAGGGAAAAAUUUUGGAACUAAUAGCUAAAAAGGCACUUGAGACUGAAGACUAUAAUAUCUGUGCCAUGAUAUGUAUGCAGUUGGCGGAAAAUAAUUAUCUUUCUGCUUGGGAAAUUUGUUUAAAUUUGGGAUGUUGUGAUAGUUAUCAGGAUUUUAAAAUUAGGCAAAAGUGUCUAUGGUUUGCAAUAAAUAAUGGGCCCAAUGAUAUAUUGAGUAAUGCUUUAGAACAUACCCAUUUGUUAAAAAUACAAAUGCUACAUAAGGAUUUGGAAUUGUGGAUGCCUUCUGCAGAAUUUGAAAGUUUGAAAAAUGAAGAAAGUGAUACGAGUGAAGAUGAUUUUACAGAUGCUAUGACAACGCCACAGAUGGAAGUAAAAGAGUUUGUUCCAAAAAUGUUAGAAACUUCGACAGGAAUUGUAAAAAGUUCAGCUAAUAUCAUGAAGGAAUCUACAUUUAGCUUAAUAAAAAAUAUUAGUAAUACCAAUUUUUGGAAAUCUAGACUAAACCUUAACUUUAAAAAUGAUUUAGAAACUAGUGCGGAACAUGAAUCUGAGAUGAAACAAAAUGAAGACAAUACCUACUUUCAAAGUUUUCCAUGCUAUUAUGAAUCCUUACACGGACUAUGUAGGAUAAGUGUUAACGAGACGAGAUACAAUAAAUAUGCUAUUACAGACAUAGAAAAUACAAAAUUAAAAUGUUGCCGGGCACUCUUGAGAAUAACUAUACUCAGUGAAUCCUCUUGUUAUGGACUAGAAAUAAGCGAUAUUAAUCAUUUGCUCUUAGAAUGUGCAAAGCACACUAUAUCAGAUGAUUGGUUACUUGGUAUGGCUUAUCUAUUGAGUUUAAGUAGAGAUCACAUCUUGGAUGCUCAAGCAAUCUUUGUGGAUUUACCACAAACUGAAUUGUAUAUACAAACCGCGCUUUAUUAUUAUUCAUUAGAAUUGUAUAAGAAAUUGUACACUGAUUGUGAAAAGUUGUAUUUAUAUAAUCCAUUAGAUUUAAUGAAAAUCAUGAUGGCUGCAGCACGAAAAUCUGAAGAAUGUGAUAUUGUUCAAGCGUUACAAUAUUGGCAAAGUUAUCUACUCGGCGGGGCACAAAUUAAAAAUAUAAAUCAAGUGGAAGUAAAAGAUAUAAGUACAUUAGAUCUAGAACACAGUACUGUUCGUGUGCAUUCUGUAAAGACUACAAACAAAGAUCAAGAAUCUGCAAAAUGUGUCGAUGUUAAUGAUAUCCUAUCAUCAAAUUCUAAGGCAAAUAAAGAUCUAAAAAUUGCUAUCUCUGGUAAUAUUGAUGCCGUAGAAUGGACAGAUGAUUGGGGUGAUUUUUCUGAUGAUAGCAUGGAAGCAAAUGGCGAUAAAAGGGGUAAAAAUAAAUCCGAAAGAAUUUUACAAGAAAAAACCGUUUUUCCUCUCGAUCAUACCGUUACUGAGUGUACGAUGGAGGAAGAUCGAUUUAAAUUAUUUCAGAAACGAUUUAAUCAAAUAAAAAAUUUAGAGCAAUAUCAGGAAGUAAAAAGAAUAAUAUCGCAAUGGCCGAAAUUUAAUAUGCCAGAUCAUAUCACGAUAGAUAAUCAUCCAGUUUUAAAAAUGAUGAAAGUGAUAGUUGCACUCGCAAAGACGAAUACAGCUGACUUUGAAAAAAGGAUAUUACAAGAACAUGAAGAUCUCAUUAGAUUAUUAACGUCUGAAAAGAUCCUCAAACAAUUCUUGGAGUUCGAACAAGAUCAUAUUAGCUUUGUACAAAGCCUACACAUUCGAUUAUGCUCCCAAGACGUGUCAAUGCAUGAAGAGGCAGUAAAACUCAUUAAAGAAAAACAGGCUAUUGUACUACCACCAUUGGUACUGGAGAAACUUUUCUUAAAUAAUUUAACAGCGUUUUUCAGGCCAGAUCAUGUUGUAUACAAACAGAUAAUUGACCAUGUCUUUAUAAAUGAAUCCUUAACCGGCAUUGAAGAGAAUGCAAAAACACUCAUACAUGAAUUAAAAAAACAGAAAUAUAUACUGGAGGCUUUGCAUAUUAUAAAAUUAAUGGAAAAAAUACCGUCGGUCUUGUGCACAUUUGAUACUUGUUUUCAGCUAUUAAUGCAGGACUGAAUUUAUCUUGAAUGUAAAAAAAAGCUCUUAUGCAUGUUGUAUAUAUAAAGGAAAGUUACAGAUAAGAGCGGCGGAUUUAGUCCUACCAGUGUUUUCAAGAGCAACCGGGCUCCCCUGCUAGGUUCAAUGAAUCUCGGAGGUAAUAAGUGGGCCCAUCAACGUUAUCUCCGUUGAUUUUAUCAGCCUUGAUAAGACUGAGUCAUUUCAGUCACCGUGAUACGCUGUAUCGUACUGCAUCGUGUUGUAUCCCCAAUUACCAUCAAUGUAAAUAAUCAUUGCGCGUCUGAACCCUCCAGUUGCGCUAAAUGUCAACGAUGAUUGAGCGUGAACUACGCUUGCUGCGCACACGAUCGCUCGCCUAGCUCGGCAAACUGCUUCGUGCCCGUCUGAGAACUUAGUUGGCCGCUUCCUUCGGUCGAAUAAACACGUCCUUCAAUCGGGUGAGUCGAUAUAUUUGCAUAUAUGUUCGUGACCGCGAAUAUCCACUUGUUCUAUCUGUGUUACAACGAUACACAUUCUUGUUUAAGAUACUUAACAUUUUUUAUUAUUGCCUUUAAUUACAUAUGAAACAAUUUCAUACGAACAAAUUACAUAUGAAAAAAAACAAAAAAA